AUUGAACGCUGGCGGCAGGCCUAACACAUGCAAGUCGAGCGGAUGAAGGGAGCUUGCUCCUGGAUUCAGCGGCGGACGGGUGAGUAAUGCCUAGGAAUCUGCCUGGUAGUGGGGGAUAACGUCCGGAAACGUGCGCUAAUACCGCAUACGUCCUGAGGGAGAAAGUGGGGGAUCUUCGGACCUCACGCUAUCAGAUGAGCCUAGGUCGGAGUAGCUAGUUGGUGGGGUAAAGGCCUACCAAGGCGACGAUCCGUAACUGGUCUGAGAGGAUGAUCAGUCACACUGGAACUGAGAGACGGUCCAGACUCCUACGGGAGGACGCAGCGGGGAAUAUUGGACAAUGGGCGAAAGCAUGAUCCAGCCAUGCCGCGUGUGUGAAGAAGGUAUUCGGAUUGUAAAGCACUUUAAGUUGGGAGGAAGGGCAGUAAGUUAAUACCUUGCUGUUUUGACGUUACCAACAGAAUAAGCACCGGCUAACUUCGUG
rnacentral:rRNA from 1 species